rnacentral:rRNA from 1 species
AACGAACGCUGGCGGCAUGCUUAACACAUGCAAGUCGAACGCCUGUAGCAAUACAGGAGUGGCAGACGGGUGAGUAACGCGUGGGAACGUACCCCAAGGUUCGGAAUAAAGAUUGGAAAAGAUAGCUCAUACCGGCUAAGCACGAACGUGGAAAGGUUUACUGCCUUGGGAGCGGCGCGUGUUAGAUUAGGUAGCUGGUGGGGUAAAGGCCUACCAAGCCUACGUACUAUAGUUGGGCUGAGAGGAUGAUCCGCCGCACUGGGGCUAGGACACAGCCCAGACUCCUACGGGAGGCAGGAAUGGGGAAUAUUGGACAGUGGGGUGAGCCCUGAACCAACAAGGCCGCUUGAGUUAAGAAAGCCGUCAAGUUGAAAAGCGCUAUUACCUACGACGAUAAUGACGGUAGUAGGGGAAAAAGCCCCGGCUAACUUCGUG